UCUCCGUAGGUGAACCUGCGGAGGGAUCAUUACAAGAGUGAGGGCCCUCGCGGCCCGAACCUCCAACCCCAUGUUGUCCGACUCUGUUGCCUCGGGGGCGACCCUGCCGUUCGCGGCGUGGGGCCCCCGGAGCCCAUCAAACCCUGCGCAACUAAGUCGUCGGAGUUUAAACAAAUUAAACAAAACUUUCAACAACGGAUCUCUUGGUUCGGGCAUCGAUGAAGAACGCGC
rnacentral:misc_RNA from 1 species